GCGGUUCGCCCCGUAUGGGCGAUGAAAAGGGAAGCAGGUGAAAGUCCUGCACAGUCCCGCUGCUGUAAGCUCCGUCAUCGCAAGUGCAGACAGCCACUGGCCGGUUCGCUGCCGAACCACUGCCGGGAAGGUGCAUUUGCAGGAGUAAGUCAGAAGACCUGCCGCCAGUC
rnacentral:ncRNA from 1 species